rnacentral:rRNA from 1 species
GGCGCACGGGUGAGUAACACGUAGGUCAUCUACCCUCGAGUGGGGGACAACCCUCCGAAAGGAGGGCUAAUACCGCAUAAGACCACUUUAGUGGCCAAAGCGGGCCUCUCCAUGGAAGCUCGCGCUUGAGGAUGAGCCUGCGGCCCAUCAGCUUGUUGGUAGGGUAACGGCCUACCAAGGCGGAGACGGGUAGCUGGUCUGAGAGGAUGAGCAGCCACACUGGAACUGAGACACGGUCCAGACUCCUACGGGAGGCAGCAGUGGGGAAUCUUGCGCAAUGGGCGAAAGCCUGACGCAGCGACGCCGCGUGAGCGAUGAAGGCCUUCGGGUUGUAAAGCUCUGUGGGGAGGGAAGAAUAAGGGCAGGCCAAUACCCUGUCUGAUGACGGUACCUCCUUAGCAAGCACCGGCUAACUCUGUGCCAGCAGCCGCGGUAAGACAGAGGGUGCAAACGUUGUUCGGAAUUACUGGGCGUAAAGCGCGUGUAGGCUGCUCUGCAAGUCGGAUGUGAAAGCCCUCGGCUCAACCGAGGAAGAGCACCCGAAACUGC